rnacentral:rRNA from 1 species
CGGCCGGCUGCUAGACUGCAAGUCGAACGGAGAAUUAGCAAUAGUUCUUAGUGGCGAAUGGGUGAGUAACGCGUUGGUGACCUGCCCCAAAGUGAGGGAUAACAACUCGAAAGGGUUGCUAAUACCCCAUGUAGUUUUCGGAACUAGAAACCGAUUUCCAAAGGAGCAAUCCGCUUUGGGAGGGGCCUGCGUCCCAUCAGCUAGUUGGUAGGGUAAUGGCCUACCAAGGCGAUGACGGGUAGGGGGCCUGAGAGGGUGGCCCCCCACAUUGGCACUGAAACACGGGCCAAACACCUACGGGUGGCAGCAGUCGGGAAUAUUGGUCAAUGGACGAAAGUCUGAACCAGCAACGCCGCGUGUGCGAUGAAGGUCUUUGGAUCGUAAAGCACUUUUCAGGGAGAUGAGGAAGGACAGUAUCCCUGGAAUAAGGAUCGGCUAACUACGUGCCAGCAGCCGCGGUAAAACGUAGGAUCCGAGCGUUAUCCGAAUUUACUGGGCGUAAAGCGCGUGCAGGCGGUUUGGUAAGUUGGAUGUGAAAGCUCCUGGCUCAACUGGGAGAGGUCGUUCAAAACUGCCAGACUAGAGAAUGGUAGAGGGAGGUGGAAUUCCGGGUGUAGUGGUGAAAUGCGUAGAUAUCCGGAGGAACACCAGUGGCGAAGGCGGCCUCCUGGACCAUUCCUGACGCUCAGACGCGAAGGCUAGGGUAGCGAACGGGAUUAGAAACCCCGGUAGUCCUAGCAGUAAACGAUGUAGACUUGGCGUCGGUGGGGUAAAAGCCAUCGGUGCCG